CGUGAGUGAGGAAGGCCUUCGGGUCGUAAAACUCUGUCAGAUGGGAAGAAGUGCUAUACGGUUAAUACCCGUACAGUUUGGCGGUACCAUCAAAGGAAGCACCGGCUAACUCCGUGCCAGCAGCCGCGGUAAUACGGAGGGUGCAAGCGUUGUUCGGAAUCACUGGGCGUAAAGGGAGCGCAGGCGGUUUUACAAGUCAGAUGUGAAAGCCCACGGCUUAACCGUGGAAGUGCAUUUGAAACUGUAAGACUUGAGUAUCAGAGGGGAAAGUGGAAUUCCCGGUGUAGAGGUGAAAUUCGUAGAUAUCGGGAGGAAUACCGGUGGCGAAGGCGACUUUCUGGCUGAAUACUGACGCUGAGGCUCGAAAGCGUGGGGAGCAAACAGGAUUAGAUACCCUGGUAGUCCACGCCGUAAACGAUGUGCACUAGAUGUAGGAGGUAUUGACCCCUUCUGUGUCGCAGCUAACGCAUUAA
rnacentral:rRNA from 1 species